UACGUACGAGGACAAGCGUUAUCCGGAAUUACUGGGCGUAAAGCGCGCGCAGGCGGAUUGUUAAGUAGGGCGUGAAAUCUCCCGGCCUAACUGGGAGGGGUCGCCCUAAACUGGCGAGUCUUGAGGACAGCAGAGGUAGGUGGAAUUCCUGGUGUAGGUGGUGAAAUGCGUAGAGAUCAGGAGGAACCACCGGUGGCGAAGGCGGCCUACUGGGCUGUCUCUGACGCUGAGGCGCGAAAGCUCGGGGAGCGAACGGG
rnacentral:rRNA from 1 species